rnacentral:rRNA from 1 species
UACGUAGGUGGCAAGCGUUGUCCGGAAUCAUUGGGCGUAAAGCGCGUGUAGGCGGUCCGGUAAGUCCGCUGUGAAAGUCGGGGGCUCAACCCUCGGAUGCCGGUGGAUACUGUCGGGCUUGAGUACGGAAGAGGCGAGUGGAAUUCCUGGUGUAGCGGUGAAAUGCGCAGAUAUCAGGAGGAACACCAAUUGCGAAGGCAGCUCGCUGGGACGUUACUGACGCUGAGACGCGAAAGCGUGGGGAGCAAACAGG